GUCCACGCCCUAAACGAUGUCAACUGGUUGUUGGGUCUUCACUGACUCAGUAACGAAGCUAACGCGUGAAGUUGACCGCCUGGGGAGUACGGCCGCAAGGUUGAAACUCAAAGGAAUUGACGGGGACCCGGCACAAGCGGUGGAUGAUGUGGUUUAAUUUCGAUGCAACGCGAAAACCUUAACCCACCCUUUGACAUGUACGGAAUUCGCCAGAGAUGGCUUAGUGCUCGAAAGAGAACCGUAACACAGGUGCUGCAUGGCUGUCGU
rnacentral:rRNA from 1 species